GUAUGAGACCUGGAAAGGAGACCAUGUGUGUCCAUCUCGGCCUCCUCCCCGCCCCGCCCCCCUUGCCAUUGAGAGGUUCCAAUGGCUAAGUUCAGUUCCAGGGAGAAGCUCAACUCAGGAAAAACAGAAACUGGUUGGAUCCAGAGGUGCCUGAGAUGGAUCUGAACUUUGGCGAACUCCACUCAUUACUGUACUAAAUCCCUGCUCAGGGAGGAGCUUACUAGCCAUGUUCUAUACUAUACAUACUAUACAUGUGACGUAUGUAGAAGCAUGAUCAAGUCUACGCCUGCUCUACCUUUACUCUGCCUCUACCUGCAAUGACUCAGCUAACCAGCCCAAUACAAGCUCUGUUCUCACCAUUUUUCUGGGAGGCACUGCUUUGAGAACUAUCCCUGGUGCCCUUCUUACUUGUUGCAAAUAAUAAAAUCCCCUUGUUAAAUUC